rnacentral:rRNA from 1 species
CGUCUAUAUACGUAUAGCAUAUCAAUAAGCGGAGGAAAAGAAACUAACUAGGAUUCCCUCAGUAACGGCGAGUGAAGCGGGAAGAGCUCAAAUUUGAAAUCUUCAAGGUUUUACCUUGACGAAUUGUAGUUUAAAGAAGUGUUUUCUGUUGGAAUUUUGGUAAAAGUUCUUUGGAAAAAGACAUCAAAGAGGGUGAGAAUCCCGUAUUUGACCAUUAUUUCCAGCUUUGUGAUACACUUUCAAAGAGUCGGAUUGUUUGGGAAUGCAGUCCAAAAUGGGUGGUAAAUUUCAUCUAAAGCUAAAUAUUGGCGAGAGACCGAUAGCGAACAAGUACCGUGAGGGAAAGAUGAAAAGAACUUUGAAAAGAGAGUUAAACAGUACGUGAAAUUGUCAAAAGGGAAGCGUUUGACACCAGUGUUGUUUUCUCGAAAAUCAAUUAAAAAUGACCGGAUUUUGUGUUGUAUUGACUUUAUCAGCUUUCUGCACUUUUUUCUUGUCUUUUUUAAUGCACUUUUCGUUUAACAAGUCAACAUCAAUUUCUUUUGCUGUAAAAGGGUCAUUGGAAGGUGGCUUUCUUUUCGGAGAAAGUGUUUAUAGCCUUUGACUUCUGCAAUCGGAGAGAUUGAGGUCUGCAGCGUAGAUCCUUCGGGGUUAGAUGCAUUUGUGCUAAGUUAUAGCCUUUCAUAGACAACUUGUUGACUAUGAUCAGUCAUGUAGCUUACUCGCUUAUGUCAUUUUACCUACGCUUAGGAUGUUGACGAUCAGCUGAGCGCG